AGUGAACGCUGGCGGUAGGCCUAACACAUGCAAGUCGAACGGCAGCACAGUAAGAGCUUGCUCUUACGGGUGGCGAGUGGCGGACGGGUGAGGAAUACAUCGGAAUCUACUUUUUCGUGGGGGAUAACGUAGGGAAACUUACGCUAAUACCGCAUACGACCUACGGGUGAAAGCAGGGGAUCUUCGGACCUUGCGCGAUUGAAUGAGCCGAUGUCGGAUUAGCUAGUUGGCGGGGUAAAGGCCCACCCAGGCGACGAUCCGUAGCUGGUCUGAGAGGAUGAUCGGCCACACUGGAACUGAGACACGGUCCAGACUCCUACGGGAGGCAGCAGUGGGGAAUAUUGGACAAUGGGCGCAAGCCUGAUCCAGCCAUACCGCGUGGGUGAAGAAGGCCUUCGGGUUGUAAAGCCCUUUUGUUGGGAAAGAAAAGCAGCAGGUUAAUACCCCGCUGUUCUGACGGUACCCAAAGAAUAAGCACCGGCUAACUUCGUG
rnacentral:rRNA from 1 species